UGGGAAUUUUGGACAAUGGGCGCAAGCCUGAUCCAGCCAUGCCGCGUGCGGGAAGAAGGCCUUCGGGUUGUAAACCGCUUUUGUCAGGGAAGAAAUCUUCUGAGUUAAUACCUCGGGAGGAUGACGGUACCUGAAGAAUAAGCACCGGCUAACUACGUGCCAGCAGCCGCGGUAAUACGUAGGGUGCAAGCGUUAAUCGGAAUUACUGGGCGUAAAGCGUGCGCAGGCGGUUUUGUAAGACAGAGGUGAAAUCCCCGGGCUCAACCUGGGAACUGCCUUUGUGACUGCAAGGCUUGAGUGCGGCAGAGGGGGAUGGAAUUCCGCGUGUAGCAGUGAAAUGCGUAGAUAUGCGGNGGAAACACCGAUGGCGAAGGCAAUCCCCUGGGCCUGCACUGACGCUCAUGCACGAAAGCGUGGGGAGCAAACAGAUUAGAUACCCUGGUAGUCCACGCCCUAAACGAUGUCAACUGG
rnacentral:rRNA from 1 species